CUUAUUUUUUUGAAAAUUAUUAAAUGUACUUUUUAAAAUUCUAUUUAUUAUAAAACUUUAUUAGUGUUUUAAAAAAUAAAAUAAUUUUAGCUUUAUUUAGACUAGGUAUCCUACUUAGGUUAUGUCCUAUGAGUAGCGUUUACAAGUGGUCCGAAACGUUCCCAGGUAACAAAAGUAGGAAGCGCAACUAGUAGAUGAAUAAUAUUUUUAAAUUCUUUGUGCAUAGUAAAGUAAACAAAGACUCUACCCGUUUCUUUACUUCGUGUGUAUACAACAAGGUUUCUUUAAUUCUUCUACGAUUAGUGUCUCAAUAAUUUCCCUCUCAUAGUAAGCUACAUGCAUCCUACAAUAUAUGACUUUUUAGAAUGUCAUAUUUUUAUUCCGAUUAGGAAUAUAUAAACCCGAUAGCCGUAUGUAUAUAAUUUCUAACACUUGUAGAACAUAAUAAAAGUUGGCUACAUUUUUACUAAUAUAAGGUAGCUGUAUUAAACUGAUGUAGUGUCAUUUUAGUCACUACAUGUUGAGAACAGCUAUUUAACUACCGUAGGACUGUACACGCUAUUGCACGCGUGCACAUAUCCGUAGCAUGCAAGAUUUCAUUAUAAUAUCGUGCUACUGCUGUGGAUUAGCGAAGCAUCAUUAUUCUUAUUAUACAUUGAUGGAAUAUAUCCAACUAUCAUAGGUCUCUACGCCUUUUUAUAGUGUAUAUGGAUCCCUAGCAUACAGUAUUUCAUCAAUAUAUCGCGCUAUUGUUAUUGAUAAUCGAAGCAUCUUUUUAGGCUAUACACAAUUCUAUUACGUAUAUAUUUCACUUAAGUAUCGUUAUUCUUUUUUCUUGCGUAAAUAGUAAAGGGCUCCAUUUUGUUUUUGUUUCUAUCUGAGUGAAAGAAACCAAAAACUUCUCAUUUUCAGUAGCACCGUAGAAAGCGUCACGAACGGAUAAGACGACUUUAUUUCGAUUAAAAUUAUAAAAUGAAUAGUACCAAUAAACUUCCAAAACGAAGCCGGAAAAAUUUUGAUUUAUUAUCGAAUAAACAAAAAAGAAUUCGCCAACAAGCGCAUUAUAAUGUGAUUAGAAGUGCCGCCGAAUGUACACCAAGUACAUCUUCAAAUCAGUCAAUUAUCAAAGACUGUGCAGUUAGUGCAUUAAGUAGUAAGUAUGAUAACAAGACAAUAAGUGCGAGUGACAAUAAUUUUCAUGAAGAAACUGAUGAUGACGGUGAUAUUGAUAAAGAUAUCAAUGUGUGUGUUGACCGAGACAACGAUGAUUCUUUUCACAGCAGUACUAGUGAUGACGAUUAUUAUGAUGAUAACGACAAUUAUAAUAGUGAUCAUAAUAAUUCAAAUAAUGCAUUCGUCAAUACUCAAUUUACUACUGACUUAGCCAGGAUGUGUGUUAAAACCAAAAUGACUCACGUUCAGAUUAACGGAAUAUUAUCUGUUCUUAGAGAACAUAACUAUCAUCAUCGGCAGUUACCGAAAGAUGCUCGAACUCUGUUAAAUACUCCUACAAAGUGCACAGACAUAAAGGUUCUCAAUCCUGGUCAUUAUCUUCAUAUUGGUAUUGCUACAAACAUUGUUAUGAAAUUAAAAAACAUACCAAUCAGUGACGAAAUACCUCGUAUAUUACUUAUAGACUUUUCUACCGAUGGUGCCAAUAUUUAUAAUAAUGUUCGUUGCGACGUAUGGCCGAUACAAUUCCGAAUAAUAAAUAUAACCGAUAAACGUCCAAUGAUAGCAGGCCUUUAUCAAGGAAAAAAACAACCUAGUGAUUUCAAAGACUUUCUCGCUGAUUUCAAUAAGGAAAUCAUCGAAUUAAUAAAUACAGGAUUAAUAUUUAAUGGACAAAAUAUUAAGUUACAAUUAAAUGCAUUUAUUGCUGACACUCCAGCAAAACACCAUUGUCUUAAUAUUAAAGGUCAUGGUGGUUAUUACAGCUGCCCUAAAUGCAAAAUUCGUGGAGAACGUCAUAAGAACGACCGUACUCAUGUGUAUAAAGGAAUAGGCUACGCUCUUAGGACCGAUCAAGAAUUCAUUUGUUUUCAGAAUAAUUCUGGGAAUAAUGACGACGGACAUUAUAAUGGGAUUUCGGCUCUGUACAAUUUGCCCAUGGGAUUAGUGAGUCAAGUACCAAUUGACUAUAUGCAUUUAGUGUGUCUUGGAGUUGUCAAGAAAACUUUAGUGGAUGCGUGGAUCGAAGGAAAACACAAGACAAGACCAUUAAAUGUAGAGACGAAAAACUGUAUUUCCGAACGUUUGUUAACAAUAGCUACACACUGCCCAAAAGAAUUUGCACGUCGUCCACGAAGUUUAAAUGACUGUCAUCGAUUUAAAGCAACAGAAUGUCGACAAUUUUUAUUGUAUACAUCAACGACCGUAUUAUUAGAUUUAUUUGGAAAUGAUACUAGGAUAUUACAUUUUGUUAAACUGCAUUGUGCUAUUCGUCUCUUAAUCAAGUCAAACCCGAACGACAAUGAAAUUGAUAAAGCACAGAAAUUAUUAGAAGCAUUUGUUUGCGAUUGCAUCGAAAUUUACGGACGAAAUUAUUUAUCAUACAAUGUACAUUGUUUAAUUCAUCUCGCUGAAGAUGUUCGUAGAUUUGGCCCUCUGGAUCAUUUUUCAUGCUUUCCAUUCGAAAAUAACAUGACAUUUUUUCGAAAAAUUAUUAGAAGUCGAACGAAGGAAUUGAUUCAAAUUUAUAAUCGCUACGAAGAAUAUAAAAUUAAUGAUGCAAUAUCUCCUACAUUAUUUAAAUCAAGUAAAAUAAUUACCGCCUAUAGCCCGAAAAAAAGUAUCACAGAAAAUAAUAAACCUGUUAUAAUAACAAAUGAAUUAUUACUGCAAUUUCAUAAGAUUAAAAUUAAUAAUUUUACGUAUGAUUUAGGUAAUAAAAAUAACUGCUGUAUUUUACAUGACGGUAGAAUUAUUAUCAUUGAUAAUAUUUUGCAAUACAGUGACAGCACCUAUCGGCUUGUAGGUAGAAAAUUUAAUAAAAUUGAGCCUCUUUAUGUAAUCGAUGAAAAUUUAAAUUCAAUGCAUGUUGAUAUUUUUAAAUGUAGCGAAUUAGGAAAUAUAUAUUUAGAUAUUUUACCGAAUGACAUUAAAUAUAAAGCGUACAAAAUGCCUUUUUGGAAAAAUUGCGAAAAAUGUUUUGAGGCUAAUAUGUUUGUUGUUGCAGCAAUUUACGAUGAUGAAUGGCUGCAUUAAAUGAAUAUAAACAUAUGUGUAACAUAUGUGUAAAAGUAUGAUAAAUAUGUAAAACAAAAUUUCAAAAAUAUUCAAUUUUCAAAUAAAAAUAAUAUAUUUACCUUUAUAAUUAAAAUCAUUAUUUACAAAUAACAUCGAUCAUUUCAAGCGCUCUUUCGCUCCUUUCUAUUCCCUCCCUUCACUCGCUUGUUCUCACUUGUUCUCAAAGUCUUGAAGCGAGGCGCGACGAGGAACGAGAGCGGAGCGAAUCACGAGCGUUCCGCAAUUGUCGUUGCAUGGAGAUUAAGGCUUAUGCCAGAUGAAAGACACGGCCCUGUCGAAAAAAUGAGUGGCGCUACGCACGUGUACAGUAGGCGGGCAUCUUUUGUCGGGACCGCGUCUUCUACCUCUGAUUUUACAUCUCUGAUUCGGAUGCGGAGUGAGUCAGUGAGUGUUUUCUUCGAGUAUUAUUGUGUACGCAAUAGAGAAAGAGUGAUUAUUUAUUGGAAUUUUCUUUAAACGGGAGGCGAUCCUAAUACAUCAGCUAGCCGCGAAGAGCCACGAGACAAAGAACAUCGGGCCCCUUUCUUUUUAUGAAGCUAAGAAUCGACUGUGAAAGAGGAAUCACUCGUCCCUUCGGAAGUGCAAUUUUUACAAGCAACUGUGUCUUACGUUAUGGAGCCUCAAGGUCCUCAAGUCAGACUCGUAGAAAAAAAUUUUUUGCUGACUGAAGAUGAUAUGUUGGACCAGCAUGUACAGGAUAUUUCAAAUUUAACUCCGGCUUCCACAAAACAUAAAAACGAAGAAUGUGAAGAAAAUUUAAAUCCAAAAAGA